AUGUCAAUCCGGGCUUUCCACAUGGAGGAUUUUCUCGUGCUAUGUGACUCCCUCCUCCUCUGGCGGCGCACGGCGGAUCGAGGCAUGGUGGAGGGUCCGGGGUUCAGGCUCACGCUUCGCCCUUGGAUCCGGCAAGCCCAGGCCAGGGCGGUGAACCUUCCCUUCCGGGUGCCGCUCGACCUCGUCGGGGUGCCGGCGAAUGCGUGGACACGGCGUACAGCGGACGUCAUUCUGGACGGCUAUGGUUACGUCGUGGAUGUCGCGGAGGAGACUGCCAGCCGCAAUGACAUGUCCCACUUCCGCGUCUGGCUCCGCACGGCGGAUCUUUGUCGCAUCCCCACCCACAAGUUUCUAUUCAUCGAAGAGCCGCCUCUCCCGUCGGCAGCGACAGCGGUGCCGCGCAGGCGGGCGCCGAGGGUGUCCUUGAGUGGGCGGGCCGGCACCUUGAGGUAUCCCAUCCAGAUUCGUCGGGUCGCGGAUACGCCAGUGCCGUCGCGCUCCCCCCGCCUCCUCCUUCGCCAAGGUCGCCGCCCCCGCCUCCCCUCCCCUCACCGCCAGCAGAAGCGGACCGUAGCCCCGAGCCUCGCAGCUCCCCAGGCCGUUGGAUCGAUGGGGAGGCCCCGUCCGGCCGCGCCGGUCAGAGCAUUGGUGGGCCACCGAGAAGAGCCUACAUGGAUACGGUGGAAGCGGCGGUGUUCACCCGCCGGAGACCUCCUGCUCACUCCGGCGGCGAUGAUGUGGCCACGCCUCGUGGGGCGGGCUCCAUGCUGA
rnacentral:rRNA from 1 species